rnacentral:rRNA from 1 species
GAUGAACGCUGGCGGCGUGCCUAAUACAUGCAAGUCGAGCGAACAGACGAGGAGCUUGCUCCUCUGACGUUAGCGGCGGACGGGUGAGUAACACGUGGAUAACCUACCUAUAAGACUGGGAUCACUUCGGGAAACCGGAGCUAAUACCGGAUAAUAUAUUGAACCGCAUGGUUCAAUAGUGAAAGACGGUUUUGCUGUCACUUAUAGAUGGAUCCGCGCCGCAUUAGCUAGUUGGUAAGGUAACGGCUUACCAAGGCAACGAUGCGUAGCCGACCUGAGAGGGUGAUCAGCCACACUGGAACUGAGACACGGUCCAGACUCCUACGGGAGGCAGCAGUAGGGAAUCUUCCGCAAUGGGCGAAAGCCUGACGGAGCAACGCCGCGUGAGUGAUGAAGGUCUUCGGAUCGUAAAACUCUGUUAGUAGGGAAGAACAAAUGUGUAAGUAACUAUGCACGUCUUGACGGUACCUAAUCAGAAAGCCACGGCUAACUACGUG